rnacentral:rRNA from 1 species
GACAGAGGGUGCAAACGUUGUUCGGAAUUACUGGGCGUAAAGCGCGUGUAGGCGGCUAUGCAAGUCGGAUGUGAAAGCCCUCGGCUCAACCGGGGAAGUGCACCCGAAACUGCAAAGCUAGAGUCUCGGAGAGGAUCGUGGAAUUCUCGGUGUAGAGGUGAAAUUCGUAGAUAUCGGGAGGAACACCUAUGGCGAAGGCAGCUCGCUGGGACGUUACUGACGCUGAGACGCGAAAGCGUGGGGAGCAAACAGG